rnacentral:tRNA from 1 species
GCCAGCGUGGCGAAAUCGGUAGACGCAGCGGAUUCAAAAUCCGCCGGGGUCAAACCCGUGUCGGUUCGAGUCCGACCGCUGGUACCA